rnacentral:tRNA from 1 species
GUAGCAGUAGCUCAAUAGUAGAGCCCCCGCUUCGCAUGCGGGGAGACCUGAGUUUGAUUCGCUGCUGCUUCC